rnacentral:lncRNA from 1 species
GCAUAUGGAAGUUCCCAGGCUAGGGGUCAAAUCAGAGCUAUAGCUGCUGGCCUACCCCACAGCCACAGCAACUCGAGAUCCGAGCCGCGCCUGUGACCUACACCACAGCUCACUGCAAGACCAGAUCCUCAACCCACUGAGUGAGGCCAGGGUUCGAACCCACGUUCUCAUGGAUACUAGUCGGGUUCAUUAACCACCGAGCCACAAUAGGAACUCCCCAUACAACUAUUUUAACUUCACAAAGAUCUCUCCUCUCUUGUUUUUGUAAAUUAUUUAAGCAUAUAUACACACACACACACACACACAUAUAUGACAGCUACAAAUACAAGUACAGCUAUGAGUAGUCCUUAAAACUGUCAAAGUCAUCAAAAACAAGGAAAGUCUUAGACUGUGUUAUAACCAAGAAGAGCCUAAGGAGACAUGAUAACUAAAAUGGAAUCCAAAACCAGGAAAGGGAUAUUAGGUGAAAAUAAGGAAACUCAAAUAAGUAUAAUUUGGGCAAUAAUAUAUUAAUAUCAGUUCAUUUGUUAUAACAACGCUAUUAUACUAAUAUGUUAAAUGUUACUAGUGGGGAAACAGGGUGGGCAGUUCAUGGGAACUCUCUGCACCAUCUCCUCAAUUUUUCCCUAAAUCUAAAUCUGUUCUAAAAAAUAAAGUCUAUUAUGUGCACACACACACACUGCAGCUUGCUAUCUAAAAUUUCCUGGCUGUUUUCUCCACCUAUCUACUUUUAUCUGAACCUAUCGUUCCUUUGUCUCUGCAGUGUGAGGCCCUGAGCUGGAAGAGAGCUCUGGUGAGUCAGUUUCAACAGCUCACAAAGGCUAAACUGCUCUAGUCACUUCAAGGCUUAACAUGGGGCCCUUGUUUCACCAGCAACUGAGGUGCACAAACAUCUGACAAGAUCAGCUGUUGUUAUCAAGUUGACCUGUUUAAUCUAAGCUGCAUCUACUUUGAGGUUCUUCAAUUCUCAUAUUCAUCAAACCCAGCCCCACUGCUUCCCUGUUUCCUCUUACAUAGAUGUCAGAAGGUACAGGUUUUGUAGCUCAUAUUUUAGAAUUUCACUGGUUUAUCUUGUUUCUGGCCUUUCAUAUGUAUUAUUCAUGGAUCCAUGAAUUUCUGGGUUUAUGAUCAAGUUGCUCAAUUUUUUUCCCUUAUAGUUUAGGAUACUGAGCUUUCAUAUAUAUAUGAAUUCUAUAUAUAUACACACACACUAUAUAUAUAUAUAUAUUCUAUUUCUUGUAUUAUAUAUUUAUACAGCCUUGUUGAGAUAUAACUCAUAUAGGAUACAAUUCAAUUCACCAUGUGCCUUUUGUAGGGAAUUUAGAAAGACCCCCCCAAAUCAUGCAGCCACCACUUUCCCAACAUUCUCAAACCAAAAUUCAAGGCAGUCAUCAACAUCAUAGACUACCGAGCUAAUGAAGAUUUUAUUAUAGUAGAUCCAGUGGCUCAUUUAACUAUAGGCAGGCUAGAAUGUGUUGUGGGUGGUAGAGAUAUGGUGCUGUAUUUUGCUAUGUGUUUAGAAGUGGAAACUCUAGGGCUUCCUGCCAGAAGUGGUUUACAACCAGUUCACAAUUAUUGACAGUGCUAUCUAUGAUGGCAGUUGAAAUCCAUCCAUCAUCCCAAAAAUCUCAUUAAUUUUACUUUGUUGUGUGAAUUUCUCCUAGUUGUUGGGUCUUUGAGGAGUAAAAAGAAAAAUCCAAAACAUACACAAAGUGUAAUUUUGUCAUCUUCUGCCAGGGAGUGCAUACCCGUGUGGGAUUUUCCUCCUCUCACCCAAGAAACUCAGCUGUGCCCUGGAGGAGGGAGCUCACAAUGAUGUAAAACCCAGCACACACAGACUAUAUUUUUGGCCCAGGUGUCACAAGCCUGAUUCUACUACUGUGAUAGACACUUUUCCUAGGGCCUGCUCAUACAACAGUCUAUAAACUGAUAACUAAACAAAGUUAAACUUGUUAGAGGGAAUUUUUUUUUAAAGGUUAGAGAGAUUUACUGAAUACACUGCUAAGGGAAGCAGUAAGCAGGGGAGCUCAUCUGCCCAGGGUGGUGGUUUGGACUCUUUUUAUAAAGGAACUAGCUUCAGACCUUUCCCUCUCAGUUCCCGUCAUGCAAACAGAUUGAAACAUGGCAGUUUUGAUUGGCUGAUAUUCGAGGCUGCUCAUUAGUCAGCUGGAAGUUAGCAAAAAAUGGCUUGGGUAUAAAAUGAUUUCCACAUUACCCCCCUGAUAGAUGGACAACGCCUAAUCUUUGGUAUUUGGGUAAAGGUCUCAUCUUCUAUUGCUGCAGGGACAACGUGUUGGCCCUACCUAGGAAUGUCCGUCCAUCAAGGGUUCUGUGUGCAGGUAAAUUGGAAUAAGAACCGUUUUGGUAAUUUAGGAGUGGUUUG